rnacentral:rRNA from 1 species
AUUGAACGCUGGCGGCAUGCCUUACACAUGCAAGUCGAACGGCAGCACGGGGGCGAACCCUGGUGGCGAGUGGCGAACGGGUGAGUAAUGCAUCGGAACGUGCCCGUAGCGGGGAUAACCAGUCGAAGACUGGCUAAUACCGCAUACGCUCCACGGAGGAAAGCAGGGGAUCGCAAGACCUUGCACUAUGGGAGCGGCCGAUGCCCGAUUAGCUAGUUGGUGAGGUAAAGGCUCACCAAGGCGACGAUCGGUAGCUGGUUUGAGAGAACGACCAGCCACACUGGGACUGAGACACGGCCCAGACUCCUACGGGAGGCAGCAGUGGGAAUUUUGGACAAUGGGCGCAAGCCUGAUCCAGCCAUGCCGCGUGC